rnacentral:rRNA from 1 species
AUGGCUCAGAGCGAACGCUGGCGGCAGGCUUAACACAUGCAAGUCGAGCGGGCCCUUCGGGGUCAGCGGCAGACGGGUGAGUAACACGUGGGAACGUACCCUUUGGUUCGGAAUAACGCUGGGAAACUAGCGCUAAUACCGGAUACGCCCUUUUGGGGAAAGGCUUGCUGCCGAAGGAUCGGCCCGCGUCUGAUUAGCUAGUUGGUGGGGUAAUGGCCUACCAAGGCGACGAUCAGUAGCUGGUCUGAGAGGAUGAUCAGCCACACUGGGACUGAGACACGGCCCAGACUCCUACGGGAGGCAGCAGUGGGGAAUAUUGGACAAUGGGCGCAAGCCUGAUCCAGCCAUGCCGCGUGAGUGAUGAAGGCCUUAGGGUUGUAAAGCUCUUUUGUCCGGGCCGAUAAUGACGG